rnacentral:rRNA from 1 species
GAGGAAUAUUGGGCAAUGGACGAAAGUCUGACCCAGCCAUGCCGCGUGCAGGAUGACUGCCCUAUGGGUUGUAAACUGCUUUUAUACAGGAAUAAACCCCCGGACGUGUCCGGGGCUGAAGGUACUGUAAGAAUAAGGAUCGGCUAACUCCGUGCCAGCAGCCGCGGUAAUACGGAGGAUCCAAGCGUUAUCCGGAUUCAUUGGGUUUAAAGGGUCCGCAGGCGGGGUAUUAAGUCAGUGGUGAAAGCCGGCAGCUUAACUGUCGAAUUGCCAUUGAUACUGGUACUCUUGAGUGUAGUUGAAGUAGGCGGAAUAAGUCAUGUAGCGGUGAAAUGCAUAGAUAUGACUUAGAACACCGAUUGCGAAGGCAGCUUACUAAGCUAUUACUGACGCUCAUGGACGAAAGCGUGGGGAGCGAAC